UUCAGAGUCUGGCGGCGCGUUCCCAUUAUCAUCUUCCUGUGACCCUUCCUCAUUUUACACGGAGGAGGUGGUCUCCACAGUGAUUUUAAAUUUAAUAUUUCUCUCAUAACCUUUGUGAGAUAAAAGAAUCUUCAUCCUUUUAACUUUGACGAGGGAUGAAAUGAAGUUUUCCACAACAUUUGGGAAGAUUUACAAGGUAUACUCCAUUUAGGCAAAAAUAACUGUCAGGGAAUAGUCAUUGUCAAGAGCAGUUUGUAUUGCAACCCACAAAUUAUACCUCUAUGUCGGUCCAGAAAUCCUUCAAUUUACCAAGAGAUUAUGUUUGAAAAUCUUAGAAAAAAUAAACAAUCCUGAAAAACUAAGUAGGUAACUCUACCAGAGGGGCUCAGACUGAUCAGCCAGUGGCAGUGAGAGCACAUUUUUCAUAGUACCACAAGAUUAUCCAUGUUGAGCUGACAUCGGAGUUCCUAUCAUAAUAUCUAAUCACUCAAUAAUAUCUAAUUACUCAAGACUUUCAGAGUGUUUUCACAUCUGCUAUCCGGUACCAGAGUGUUAGCUCCAGGAGGCAAAGGUUUUGGUUCUUUUUGUUCACCGCUGUAUUUUUAGUGCUUAGAACUGAACUUGGUACAUACUAAGUGCUCAAUAAAUGGUACUCAAUAAAUG
rnacentral:lncRNA from 1 species